rnacentral:rRNA from 1 species
AUUGAACGCUAGCGGGAUGCCUUACACAUGCAAGUCGAACGGAGUGGCGAACGGGUGAGUAAUGUAUCGGAACGUGCCCAGUAGCGGGGGAUAAGUACGCGAAAGCGUAGCUAAUACCGCAUACUAUUGGAGCGGCCGAUAUCGGCUUAGCUAGUUGGAGGGGUAACGGCUCUCCAAGGCGACGAUCCGUAGCCCGUUUGAGAGGACGAGCAGCCACACUUGGACUGAGACACGGCCCAAAAUCCUACGGGAGGCAGCAGUGGGGAAUUUUGGAAAAUGGGCGAAACCCUGAUCCAGCCAUCCCGCGUGUGCGAUGAAGGCCUUCGGGUCGUAAAGCACUUUUGGCAGGAAAGCGGUACCUGCCCAAUAAGGACCGGCUAACUACGUGCCAGCAGCCGCGGUAAUUC